UGUCAUUUUCAUCUCAAAAAUACAAAAAAAAAAAAGGAGAGAAAAAAAAUCCAAUCUUCAAACUUGUUUUCUUUAUUUUCAACGAUCCGUCAUGAAUGAAUCCUCGCAGAUUUAGAAGGCACCAAUGAAGCAGAUCAGAUCUGAAAAAGAUUGGAUUUAUUUUUCAAGCAAAUUUUCUCUUGAAAGCUUCGGAUCUAUUACUUCUGUCUGGAAGCGCUUAGUGGAGUGCUGAAGAAAGGCAUUUGGUUCUCAUACUUUGAAUUGUCUUCACCUUACCUUGUUACGUACUUAAAAAGUGUUACUUGGUUGAAAAGUGAAGAAAAAGUAGUUGGUUGUUACACUUUGGACUAUCUUCACCUUGCUUGAAGUUUCUUCAAGUUGAGCUUGUCAAGAAUGGCUUGUGGGUUUUGUGAGUCUGCUAUUUCUAACUGCAUGGGAACAUUGCUCGUGGAUUGGGUGGCGAAGCCAGUAGGAGAUCAACUUAAUUACACUCGCCGUUUUCAUGACAAUGUUGAAAAGCUCAAAGAAAGAAAAGAAGAACUAAUAAUGGCACGGGGUCGGCUGCAACAUGAGAUUGAGGAUGCCGAAAGGCGACUUCAAGGAAUUGAAGAUGAUGUCAGAGACUCGCUAUCAAAGGCGGACAAAAUCCUAUCAGAUAUGGAAACUCUACAAAAUGAAUUGCAGCAAAACAAGAGAUGUUUCAAUUGGUGUCCUAAUUGGAGUUGGCGGUAUAGAUUAAGCAAGAAAGCAACAAAGAACACUCUUGUUAUUUGUGAGCUUCUAGAGAAGAUUAACCAAAUUUGGUCAACCUGAA